rnacentral:misc_RNA from 1 species
CAGGAACAUUCUGCCAAUCAAAAAGAGACCUUUGCCCUUUCAUACCUCUAGCAGAAAAUGUCACACAAAAAAACUAAUUUUCCAACACAUCAUAACAUCCCCGUAAACCACAAUUCUGAAACCCAUUAAGCAGUUCUGGCCUUUCAGGGACACUAUUUAAAUAUGUGUAUAUAUAUUAUAUUUGGAUUUUGCUAGUUUAAACACACAUCAAUGUUCACAGUUAAUAAG